rnacentral:rRNA from 1 species
ACAGCAGUCGCCGCGGUAAUACGUAUGUCACAAGCGUUAUCCGGAUUUAUUGGGCGUAAAGCGCGUCUAGGUGGUUAUGUAAGUCUGAUGUGAAAAUGCAGGGCUCAACUCUGUAUUGCGUUGGAAACUGUGUAACUAGAGUACUGGAGAGGUAAGCGGAACUACAAGUGUAGAGGUGAAAUUCGUAGAUAUUUGUAGGAAUGCCGAUGGGGAAGCCAGCUUACUGGGCAGAUACUGACGCUGAAGCGCGAAAGCGUGGGUAGCAAACAGGAUUAGAUACCCCGGUAGUCCCUGUCUCUUAUACA